rnacentral:lncRNA from 1 species
CUCGUACCUGUGGCCGCGUGGCGGGGGCGGGUCAGGUCGGGGCACGAGGACGGAGUUCAGGUAGUUGGGCGACUGUUGGAAAAACUGGCCUCUCCUCGCUCCGCGCUUCGCCGCCGCCUCCCCGGGUCCUGCCGCUGCCGAGGUCGCGCAGAGGUGGACCCGCCCGCGUCCUGCCCUCGGUGACUUAAUCGUCUGCGUAGAAAAUCUGAAAGUAUCAACAAGAAACACUCCUGGACCUAAUAAGGGAUUAAAGCAAAGUUGGAGGAUACGAGCCUCCUGCUUGCAGGUCCUGAGGCCUGGAGCCACGGGCCAGCUGCGCACAUGUGGUGGGAUUCCAGCCAGACCUGCUCAGGGAAGGGCGAGGCCAUUCCCACGCCCAGAGCACCUGCAGAGCCUCUGCCGUCCUCUGCCGACAGCUGAGGCCCCUCACGUUCACACGGUUCGACUGCGUGAUGUUAACAGGCUGUUCCCUCUGAAAAGGACACGUGUGGAUAAACCAUUUAUGGACACCACGGUUCUGAUGAGCCGAGCAGAGGUUUCACCCCUGCGGUGGGCGCCAUUCCACCGACAUGCGUCCUGUAACAAAUGACAUAAAAUACAGCUGUUUUAAGGGCAGAGUCGUUGCUUAAAAUUGGAGGCCAAUUAAAA